AGAAAUCGUACCUUACCUGGAAACGUGGGAAGAAGACUGAUAGCCGUUAAGGACUUAAAAGCAGUCUCGUGGGAUCUGGCUUCUUUCCAAUUUCUCGGUCAGAUAUGGUUCU